GUGCUCACUUCGGCAGCACAUAAUACUAAAAUUGGAAUGAUACAGAGAUUAGCAAGGCCCCUGUGCAAGGAUGACAUACGCAAAUUCAUGAAGCAUUCCAUAUUAAA